AAGAGUUUGAUCAUGGCUCAGAUUGAACGCUGGCGGCAGGCCUAACACAUGCAAGUCGAACGGUAACAGAAAGCAGCUUGCUGCUUUGCUGACGAGUGGCGGACGGGUGAGUAAUGUCUGGGAAACUGCCUGAUGGAGGGGGAUAACUACUGGAAACGGUAGCUAAUACCGCAUAACGUCGCAAGACCAAAGAGGGGGACCUUCGGGCCUCUUGCCAUCGGAUGUGCCCAGAUGGGAUUAGCUUGUUGGUGGGGUAACGGCUCACCAAGGCGACGAUCCCUAGCUGGUCUGAGAGGAUGACCAGCCACACUGGAACUGAGACACGGUCCAGACUCCUACGGGAGGCAGCAGUGGGGAAUAUUGCACAAUGGGCGCAAGCCUGAUGCAGCCAUGCCGCGUGUAUGAAGAAGGCCUUCGGGUUGUAAAGUACUUUCAGCGGGGAGGAAGGGAGUAAAGUUAAUACCUUUACUCAUUGACGUUACCCGCAGAAGAAGCACCGGCUAACUCCGUGCCAGCAGCCGCGGUAAUACGGAGGGUGCAAGCGUUAAUCGGAAUUACUGGGCGUAAAGCGCACGCAGGCGGUUUGUUAAGUCAGAUGUGAAAUCCCCGGGCUCAACCUGGGAACUGCAUCUGAUACUGGCAAGCUUGAGUCUCGUAGAGGGGGGUAGAAUUCCAGGUGUAGCGGUGAAAUGCGUAGAGAUCUGGAGGAAUACCGGUGGCGAAGGCGGCCCCCUGGACGAAGACUGACGCUCAGGUGCGAAAGCGUGGGGAGCAAACAGGAUUAGAUACCCUGGUAGUCCACGCCGUAAACGAUGUCGACUUGGAGGUUGUGCCCUUGAGGCGUGGCUUCCGGAGCUAACGCGUUAAGUCGACCGCCUGGGGAGUACGGCCGCAAGGUUAAAACUCAAAUGAAUUGACGGGGGCCCGCACAAGCGGUGGAGCAUGUGGUUUAAUUCGAUGCAACGCGAAGAACCUUACCUGGUCUUGACAUCCACAGAACUUUCAGAGAUGAUUGGUGCCUUCGGGAACUGUGAGACAGGUGCUGCAUGGCUGUCGUCAGCUCGUGUUGUGAAAUGUUGGGUUAAGUCCCGCAACGAGCGCAACCCUUAUCCUUUGUUGCCAGCGGUCCGGCCGGGAACUCAAAGGAGACUGCCAGUGAUAAACUGGAGGAAGGUGGGGAUGACGUCAAGUCAUCAUGGCCCUUACGACCAGGGCUACACACGUGCUACAAUGGCGCAUACAAAGAGAAGCGACCUCGCGAGAGCAAGCGGACCUCAUAAAGUGCGUCGUAGUCCGGAUUGGAGUCUGCAACUCGACUCCAUGAAGUCGGAAUCGCUAGUAAUCGUGGAUCAGAAUGCCACGGUGAAUACGUUCCCGGGCCUUGUACACACCGCCCGUCACACCAUGGGAGUGGGUUGCAAAAGAAGUAGGUAGCUUAACCUUAGGGAGGGCGCUUACCACUUUGUGAUUCAUGACUGGGGUGAAGUCGUAACAAGGUAACCGUAGGGGAACC
rnacentral:rRNA from 1 species